rnacentral:rRNA from 1 species
GAUGAACGCUGGCGGCGUGCCUAAUACAUGCAAGUCGAGCGAACGGACGAGAAGCUUGCUUCUCUGAUGUUAGCGGCGGACGGGUGAGUAACACGUGGAUAACCUACCUAUAAGACUGGGAUAACUUCGGGAAACCGGAGCUAAUACCGGAUAAUACUUUGAACCGCAUGGUUCAAAAGUGAAAGACGGUCUUGCUGUCACUUAUAGAUGGAUCCGCGCUGCAUUAGCUAGUUGGUAAGGUAAAGGCUUACCAAGGCAACGAUGCAUAGCCGACCUGAGAGGGUGAUCGGCCACACUGGAACUGAGACACGGUCCAGACUCCUACGGGAGGCAGCAGUAGGGAAUCUUCCGCAAUGGGCGAAAGCCUGACGGAGCAACGCCGCGUGAGUGAUGAAGGUCUUCGGAUCGUAAAACUCUGUUAUUAGGGAAGAACAUAUGUGUAAGUAACUGUGCACAUCUUGACGGUACCUAAUCAGAAAGCCACGGCUAACUACGUG